UGGGGAAUAUUGCACAAUGGGCGAAAGCCUGAUGCAGCAACGCCGCGUGAGCGAUGAAGGCCUUCGGGUCGUAAAGCUCUGUCCUCAAGGAAGAUAAUGACGGUACUUGAGGAGGAAGCCCCGGCUAACUACGUGCCAGCAGCCGCGGUAAUACGUAGGGGGCUAGCGUUAUCCGGAAUUACUGGGCGUAAAGGGCGCGCAGGCGGUCUCUUAAGUCUGAUGUGAAAGGCCACGGCUCAACCGUGGGAUGGCAUUGGAAACUGGGGGACUUGAGUGCAGGAGAGGGGAGCGGAAUUCCCGGUGUAGCGGUGAAAUGCGUAGAGAUCGGGAGGAACACCAGUGGCGAAGGCGGCUCUCUGGCCUGUAACUGACGCUGAGGCGCGAAAGCGUGGGGAGCGAACAGGAUUAGAUACCC
rnacentral:rRNA from 1 species